rnacentral:rRNA from 1 species
GUGAACGCUGGCGGUAGGCCUAACACAUGCAAGUCGAACGGCAGCACAGUAAGAGCUUGCUCUUACGGGUGGCGAGUGGCGGACAGGUGAGGAAUACAUCGGAAUCUACUUUUUCGUGGGGGAUAACGUAGGGAAACUUACGCUAAUACCGCAUACGACCUACGGGUGAAAGCAGGGGAUCUUCGGACCUUGCGCGAUUGAAUGAGCCGAUAUCGGAUUAGCUAGUUGGCGGGGUAAAGGCCCACCAAGGCGACGAUCCGUAGCUGGUCUGAGAGGAUGAUCAGCCACACUGGAACUGAGACACGGUCCAGACUCCUACGGGAGGCAGCAGUGGGGAAUAUUGGACAAUGGGCGCAAGCCUGAUCCAGCCAUACCGCGUGGGUGAAGAAGGCCUUCGGGUUGUAAAGCCUUUUUGUUGGGAAAGAAAAGCAGCAGGUUAAUACCCCGCUGUUCUGACGGUACCCAAAGAAUAAGCACCGGCUAACUUCGUG